GAGAACUGAAGUGUCAGAGUUUCAAUAAAAAACUGGAAGAACUGCACUAUGGAGAAGCACUUGAACAUCAAAGAUUUAAACAAGGUGUUUAAUGAUCCCAUCCAUGGCCACAUCGAGUUACAUCCACUACUUGUCAAGAUCAUAGACACACCUCAGUUUCAGAGACUACGAAACAUAAAGCAGCUUGGGGGCGGUUAUUUCGUUUUUCCAGGAGCAUCGCACAACCGCUUUGAACACUCAAUAGGGGUGGGGCACUUAGCAGGAGAACUUGCAAAAACUCUGAAGCUGAAACAGCCAGAACUCGACAUCAGUGAACGAGACGUCCUUUGUG